rnacentral:rRNA from 1 species
AGUGAACGCUGGCGGUAGGCCUAACACAUGCCAGUCGAACGGCAGCACAGUAAGAGCUUGCUCUUACGGGUGGCGAGUGGCGGACGGGUGAGGAAUACAUCGGAAUCUACUUUUUCGUGGGGGAUAACGUAGGGAAACUUACGCUAAUACCGCAUAAGACCUACGGGUGAAAGCAGGGGAUCUUCGGACCUUGCGCGAUUGAAUGAGCCGAUGUCGGGUUAGCUAGUUGGGGGGGUAAAGGCCCACCAAGGCGACGAUCCGUAGCUGGUCUGAGAGGAUGAACAGCCACACUGGAACUGAGACACGGUCCAGACUCUUACGGGAGGCAGCAGUGGGAAAUAUUGGACAAUGGGCGCAAGCCUGAUCCAGCCAUACCGCGUGGGUGAAGAAGGCCUUCGGGUUGUAAAGCCCUUUUGUUGGGAAAGAAAAGCAGCAGGUUAAUACCCCGCUGUUCUGACGGUACCCAAAGAAUAAGCACCGGCUAACUUCGUG